CCUACGGGCGGCAGCAGUGAGGAAUAUUGGUCAAUGGCCGUAACGCUGAACCAGCCAAGUCGCGUGAAGGAAGAAGGAUCUAUGAUUUGUAAACUUCUUUUAUAGGGGAAUAAAGGUAUCCACGUGUGGAUGUUUGCAUGUACUCUAUGAAUAAGCAUCGGCUAACUCCGUGCCAGCAGCCGCGGUAUUACGGAGGAUGCGAGCGUUAUCCGGAUUUAUUGGGUUUAAAGGGUGCGUAGGUUGUUUGUUAAGUCAGCGGUGAAAGUUUGGGGCUUAACCAUAAAAUUGCCGUUGAAACUGGAAGUGUUGAGUGUGUUUGAGGUAGGCGGAAUGCGGGGUGUAGCGGUGAAAUGCAUAGAUAUCACGCAGAACACCGAUUGCGAAGGCAGCUUACUAGGCCAUAACUGACACUGAGGCACGAAAGCGUGGGGAUCAAACAGGAUUAGAUACCCGAGUAGUC
rnacentral:rRNA from 1 species